CCUACGGGGGGCAGCAGUGGGGAAUAUUGGACAAUGGGGGGAACCCUGAUCCAGCCAUGCCGCGUGUGUGAAGAAGGCCCUCGGGUUGUAAAGCACUUUCAGUGAGGAAGAACGCCUGGUGGUUAAUACCCAUCAGGAAAGACAUCACUCACAGAAGAAGCACCGGCUAACUCCGUGCCAGCAGCCGCGGUAAUACGGAGGGGUGCGAGCGUUAAUCGGAAUUACUGGGCGUAAAGCGCGCGUAGGUGGCUUGAUAAGCCGGUUGUGAAAGCCCCGGGCUCAACCUGGGAACGGCAUCCGGAACUGUCAAGCUAGAGUGCAGGAGAGGAAGGUAGAAUUCCCGGUGUAGCGGUGAAAUGCGUAGAGAUCGGGAGGAAUACCAGUGGCGAAGGCGGCCUUCUGGACUGACACUGACACUGAGGUGCGAAAGCGUGGGUAGCAAACAGGAUUAGAUACCCCGGUAGUC
rnacentral:rRNA from 1 species